CCAACACAAAUGGAUCCUCCUUGGUAUCUGCAGGAACAGUAACUGUAACGCUCCGUAUUUUGGAGUUAAUUCGUGUUAAUUAAGAAAAUAUAAAGAAGUUAAUAAAAAAGUAUUUAAGUAUUAUUUACAAAAUAAUAAGAAUAGAAUAACGAUAAUAUGAGUUGGUUUAGUAAAUUUCGGACUUUUGAAAGACUAAAACCGAGUUUAUUUAGACCUAGUCAUGCUAGACUAUAAAUAAAAGAGAAAAAAAAUCAGAAACCCUAACCUUCUCUCCCAGCCGUCACUCUUAAUCUCUCUCUCCCUCCCAAUCUCUCCCUCUCCCUCAGCCAACUUUCAUCCUUUCUCUCUCUCAGAUUCUCUCUCCUCUCUCGUCAGUCUCCCUCACCUCUAUUCUUCUCUCUCGUCGUCAUCGACGGUGAGGGGCGAGCGUUGUGCGUGUGCUGCUGUGCUAGAGGGUGAGGGUUGUGCGAGGCUCGGGUACGUGAACCUUCGAGGGUGUGUGUCGGAGUUUGAUGGUGUGCGACGAGGUUGGACGAGGGUGUUGUGUACGAUUUUCGAAGUGUGCGAGCGAACGAGGUUGGUACAAGGGUGCGAGUGGUUCUGUCGGUGCGAGUGGGGUUUGUGCGACAGAUCUUGGGGGUGUGCGAGUGAACGAGUGGUGCGAGAAGGCUCGAAGGUUUGUGCGAGCCUUCGACGAGGUUUAGCUGUGUGGGGCGCGAAGGCUAUGCGACGUGGGUGGCUUCGUUGCGAGGAUUGUGCGCGACCUGAUUUUAGUUGAAUUAGACUGUAUAAUUAGUUAAAUUUAUUAUUCUGAUUUUAGUUGAGAAUCUGGUUUAGGUUUGUAAUUAAGUAAGAUGGGAAGUAGAAAAAUUAUAAAACUGUUAUUGGUUGGAGUUACCAUCUUAUUAUGCGUGACCUGAUUUAUGGGACAUACGACUGUUGGAUAUAAGACUUGACUUUUGGACAUAAGAUCUAACUUUUGGACAUAAGACUUUUGGACAUAAGACUGGAUUGGACCUAAGAUUUUUGGACAUAAGACGUGGUUGGACUUAUGACUUAAUUGGUUUGGUAAAAGUAGUGGACUAAGUAUACUAACUAAGAUUAGUUAACUAUCGUUUAUUUCGAAUUAUUCGAUCGUUAUGGUCUUAGUUAGGUAUUAGUUGAUAUCGUUAUCAAGGACGUAGCACUAAAGUAUCUAUUUAACGGUUUAGGUCCCAAUUUCAUAAGCGGCACGUUCGAUUAAGACAGCGAAAAUUCUCCGUUACAAGGUCCCAAUUUCAUACGCGGCACGUUCGAUUAAGACAACGAAAAUUCUCCGUUACAAGACUAGGUGUGCUGGUGCUGCUGCAUGAUAUCAAGCAUAUGGGGGCUAGUCUUUAGUUUUUGAAGUUAAGCAAUUUGAAUUAAGUAUUAUUGGAUUUCUAGAACUUACUUAAAUGGUUUGAGGUUUGAAUAAAAGGGGUCGUCGAUGAUUCCUGAGUUGUAUUUACAUUUUUAAUUCCGCUGCAUUUCAAUUUGUGCGACAAUGAUUUGAGUUACCAUUUUUCUAUUUAUGCCUUGCAUUCCAUCGUGGCGGUAACACUCCCAAAGUCGAUGCGACGUAGUUGUAGACGUGUAUGAAUUUUGGGGGUGUUACACUCCCAAGGUACGUAUCGCGGCGAUAUGUUGCAUUGAACUUGUAUGUGUUGAUUGUUUGUUUAAUUGAAAUGGUGAAAGAUUCUUGAAAUCUUCAAAUAUGACUAGAUUAAGAGAGUGUACAAGGAUAGGUCAAAAAUGAUGUUGGACUAAAAACUUAUUUUAGUAUAAAAUUAUUUCAUUAAUCGAAACAAUCUUAAUCCUACAUGUGAAUUUCAAAGUUAAAUUGAGCAUUUUAGCUCCUAAACAUGUAUAUAUAUAAUAUAUGUUUUUAAACCCUAUUAUAUACAAAAGCUUAGACUAUUUUAUUUUCUUAUUUUCGUAGAUGGUUCACGACAUAGGUUGUAAAGAUUAUUUGAUGAAACAACCAGUAGGGGAGGAUUGGGAUGUUUGGGCUUUUAAGAUGAAGGCUGCCAUGGAUUAUAAAAUCAUGCAAGGGGAGCAGUGGUUAAGGUCUGAGUGUUAUAGGAUACAUUUUAUGCUUCAGUAUGUCCUAGACAUAGAGCCUUAUAGAUUCGUUCAUCGUAGGUAUGGAGAUAUGUGGACCGAAGAGGGGAAUUUCAACAGAGAGAAGCAUACCUACGGGCACUAAAAUCUUCCUAAUGAAAACAUUUCCUAGCUGACCUCAAAUACUGCGAGAAUGAGUGGAGGAUUCGUGAAACGAGAGGUCAAAACCCUUCUACUUCAUCAGUGGGGGAAAGUUCGGGAACUAGGGCCAUAGAUGGGAGUUCUGAGAACCCAAGGGUCAAACCUGAACCACAAACGCCACCUAGAGGUGCAAAGAGGCCAAGAUACCAAGCGUUUGAGGACGAGCUAGUACCUGAGAGCUACCAAAAUCUUAGAACUGUCACCUACGUCUCUGAUGAUGAGAGGAACAAUAGGACCUUUAUUGUAGUAGUU